CAGCCGCCACGGGAAAACGGAGGGGGCUAGCGUUGUUCGGAAUUACUGGGCGUAAAGCGCACGUAGGCUGCUUUGUAAGUCAGAGGUGAAAGCCCGGGGCUCAACCCCGGAUGUGCCUUUGAGACUGCAGAGCUAGAAUCGCGGAGAAGUGAGUGGAAUUCCGAGUGUAGAGGUGAAAUUCGUAGAUAUUCAGAAGAACACCAGUGGCGAAGGCGGCUCACUGGACCGACACUGACGCUGAGGCGCGAAAGCGUGGGGAGCAAACAGGAUUAGAUACCCCCGUAGUCCCCUGUCUCUUAUA
rnacentral:rRNA from 1 species